GACGAACGCUGGCGGCGUGCUUAACACAUGCAAGUCGAACGGGCCUGUCUUCUUUUUUGGGGGGUGGGUUGAGUGGCGAACGAGUGAGUAUCACGUGAGUAACCUGCCCUUCGGUCCUGGAUAACCGCUUGAAAGGGCGGCUAAUACGGGGUGGUCCGGUUGGUCCGCAUGGGCUGGUCGGGAUAGAUUCACUGUUUUUGGUGUUUCGGCGGGGGAUGGGCUCGCGGCCUAUCAGCUUGUUGGUGGGGUGAUGGCCUACCAAGGCGGUGACGGGUAGCCGGCCUGAGAGGGUGGGCGGCCACACUGGGACUGAGAUACGGCCCAGACUCCUGCGGGAGGCAGCAGUGGGGGGUAUUGCACAAUGGGCGGAAGCCUGAUGCAGCGACGUCGCGUGAGGGAUGGAGGCCUUCGGGUUGUGAACCUCUGUUUCCGGUGGUGAAGGCCCUGUCCGUGUGGUGGGGUUGACGGUAGCCGGGGAUGAAGCGCCGGCUAACUACGUG
rnacentral:rRNA from 1 species